GACGAACGCUGGCGGCGUGCCUAAUACAUGCAAGUAGAACGCACAGGAUGCACCGUAGUUUACUACACCGUAUUCUGUGAGUUGCGAACGGGUGAGUAACGCGUAGGUAACCUGCCUGGUAGCGGGGGAUAACUAUUGGAAACGAUAGCUAAUACCGCAUAAGAACAUUUACUGCAUGGUAGAUGUUUAAAAGGUGCAAAUGCAUCACUACCAGAUGGACCUGCGUUGUAUUAGCUAGUAGGUGAGGUAACGGCUCACCUAGGCGACGAUACAUAGCCGACCUGAGAGGGUGAUCGGCCACACUGGGACUGAGACACGGCCCAGACUCCUACGGGAGGCAGCAGUAGGGAAUCUUCGGCAAUGGGGGGAACCCUGACCGAGCAACGCCGCGUGAGUGAAGAAGGUUUUCGGAUCGUAAAGCUCUGUUGUUAAGGAAGAACGAGUGUGAGAAUGGAAAGUUCAUACUGUGACGGUACUUAACCAG
rnacentral:rRNA from 1 species